ACAGAAUUGAAGAAUAGGUUGUGGAU
rnacentral:sRNA from 1 species